UACAGAGGGUGCAAGCGUUAAUCGGAUUUACUGGGCGUAAAGCGUGAGUAGGUGGCUUCCUAAGUCGGUUGUGAAAUCCCUGGGCUCAACCUGGGAAUUGCAGUCGAUACUGGGAAGCUCGAGUUCGGUAGAGGGUGACGGAAUUCCCGGUGUAGCGGUGAAAUGCGUAGAUAUCGGGAGGAACAUCGAUGGCGAAGGCAAUCACCUGGGCCUGAACUGACACUGAGACACGAAAGCGUGGGUAGCAAACAGGAUUAGAAACCCCCGUAGUCC
rnacentral:rRNA from 1 species